rnacentral:misc_RNA from 1 species
ACCUUUAUCAGCCAGGACAUGCUGGCACGCACUUCGUCGCAGUCAGCACGCACAUCUCUUUCGUGAGGACCUUCUGUGCCGUUCUCUGUCGGCCUGCGCUCCUAGGCAGGCAAGCUGAGGCGAUACCAUGCUCCACGUUGUCCUCUUCAAGACCGACGCGAAGAAGCUCGCGAAGGAGUUCCCUGGAAACUCCCUCGAGGAAGCGAUCGAAUCACUGCGCCAGGCCAAAAUCCCCGGCCUUGUUGACUUUAACAUACGACCCAAGAAUACCAGCCCCUGGCCAGGCUACCAGGAUGAUUCGCAGGGCUACACACACGCAUUGAUGUCGAGUCAUGUGAGCGCGAGCGCGCUGCGCACCUACGCUGAGCAUCCGGUGCACAAGGUGCUGCAGGCGCGCCUCCUAAAGUGUGUCACGGCGCCGCCUCUCCGCAUGGAUCUCGAUAUUCAUCCCAACCUGUAAAAACGAUGGCGAGGCGAAAAGAAAAACGACACAAGUCCUUCUAUUCACUUAGAUGUCAUACCUCAUAUUGCGCGUUGCCACGUAUCCGCAAGUCUCGAUAUCCGACUGCAGCUGCGCUAUGAUGUGCCUCCCUCUGUGCUUUUUUUUUUCGUCUGUGUGUGCGUGGGUGUAUAAAAAAGCGUCUAGGCUGAAGACUAGUUUGCUUAGCGGUCAUUGCGUGGCAGGCGGAGAGUGUUCAGCAGCAGAAGGCAGCUGCAGUAGCAUGCAGGAGGGGGGAGUCUGG